rnacentral:rRNA from 1 species
AGUGAACGCUGGCGGCAGGCCUAACACAUGCAAGUCGAGCGGCAGCGGGUUCCCGCGAGGGGAUGCCGGCGAGCGGCGGACGGGUGAGGAACACAUCGGAAUCUGCCUGGUUGUGGGGGAUAACGUAGGGAAACUUACGCUAAUACCGCAUGCGACCCUGAGUCGACGGACUGGGGGUGAAAGUGAGGGACCUUCGGGCCUCACGCGACCAGAUGAGCCGAUGUCGGAUAGCUAGUUGGCGGGGUAACGGCCCGCCAAGGCGACGAUCCGUAGCUGGUCUGAGAGGAUGAUCAGCCACACUGGGACUGAGACACGGCCCAGACUCCUACGGGAGGCAGCAGU